CUGGAAGUCCUUUCCCAUCCAAGGCACCUCACAUUAAGCUAAUGCCUAACCCUCUCACAAUCCUGAACACACAUUCCAGGGAGGAUAUUGCUGGAAGGACAUAAAAAAGGAAAACCAACCAAGAAUGAGAAAAAAUCCAGAGCUAGAAUAAAAUGCCUGAAUGGAAGAGGUCCCUGCUGGUGAGCAGAGAUUGGGUCCUUUCCAGCCUGUCAUAUCAGGACACCGCAACCAGACACAAGGCCUCUGUACAGUUGGAUUUGGCCAAAUAGGCUUUGGCAAGCAGAGGUAUCCUUUGCCAGAAUGUCAGGAAACACACCAGUUCUUCAUCAGUUUUGCUGCUGCUCAAAACACUCAGUCCCACUUUGAAUAAGUGGUCAAUGCUGAGCUUCAUAUAAGCAGGAUGUAAAAUUUUUGGACUAUGUCCCAAGGUGGGCAAGAAGGACAGUUAAAGGAGUAGAGGGUAUGACUUUGUUCCAAUUACAGAGAAGGAGGCCGAGUCAUCAACUCAUUGCUUUCUACGAUUUGCUCAUGAUGGGGAGCAGGGAUGGAGGUACUGAUCGCUUUCUCUGGUGUCUGGUAGAAGGACAGAAAGGAAUGUUAAAGCUGAAUCAGGGGAUUUUACAUUGGUUAUCAGGAAAAAUGUCCUUACUCAGAGU